GGGUUAGUAGAUUGGUCAUGCCUCUGGUAUGUACUGGUUUCACUGAUUCCUCCUUCCUGAUGAACCGUAAUGCCAUUUAUUUGGUGUUGCGAGGAAUUUGGACUGUUACUUUGAAAAAAUUAGAGUGUUUAAAGCAAGCUAACGCUUGAAUACAUUAGCAUGGAAUAAUGAAAUAGGACGUUCGAUCCUAUUUUGUUGGUUUCUAGGAUUGACGUAAUGAUUAAUAGGGAUAGUUGGG
rnacentral:rRNA from 1 species